rnacentral:rRNA from 1 species
GAUGAACGCUAGCUACAGGCUUAACACAUGCAAGUCGAGGGGUAACGAGAGGAAAGCUUGCUUUCCUUGUCGACGACCGGCGCACGGGUGAGUAACGCGUAUCCAACCUGCCCCCAACUAAGGAAUAACCUUGCGAAAGUAAGACUAAUACCUUAUAAUUUCCUCAGAUGUCAUCUGACGAGGAAUAAAGAUUUAUCGGUUGUGGAUGGGGAUGCGUCUGAUUAGCUUGUUGGCGGGGUAACGGCCCACCAAGGCAACGAUCAGUAGGGGUUCUGAAGGGAAGGUCCCCCACAUUUGACCUGAGACACGGUCCAAACUCCUACGGGAGGCAGCAGUGAGGAAUAUUGGUCAAUGGGCGAAAGCCUGAACCAGCCAAGUAGCGUGCAGGAUGACGGCCCUAUGGGUUGUAAACUGCUUUUAUACAGGAAUAAAGUUAGCCACGUGUGGUUAUUUGUAGGUACUGUAUGAAUAAGGACCGGCUAAUUCCGUGCCAGCCGCCGCAGUAA